GACGAACGCUGGCGGCGUGCCUAACACAUGCAAGUCGAACGGGAGCAAGUGCUUCGGUAUUUGCUUUAGUGGCGAACGGGUGAGUAACGCGUGAAUAACCUGCCUUUCAGUGGGGGACAACAGUCGGAAACGACUGCUAAUACCGCAUGACGCUUCUUGGGGGGCAUCCCCCGAGAAGUACAGAAGCCUUUAUGUGCUGAAAGAUGGAUUCGCGUCUGAUUAGCUAGUUGGUGAGGUAACGGCUCACCAAGGCGACGAUCAGUAGCCGGUCUGAGAGGAUGAACGGCCACAUUGGGACUGAGAUACGGCCCAG
rnacentral:rRNA from 1 species